rnacentral:rRNA from 1 species
CCUACGGGAGGCAGCAGUAGGGAAUCUUCCACAAUGGGCGAAAGCCUGAUGGAGCAACGCCGCGUGGGUGAAGAAGGUCUUCGGAUCGUAAAACCCUGUUGUUAGAGAAGAAAGUGCGUGAGAGUAACUGUUCACGUUUCGACGGUAUCUAACCAGCAAGCCACGGCUAACUACGUGCCAGCAGCCGCGGUAAUACGUAGGUGGCAAGCGUUAUCCGGAUUUAUUGGGAGUAAAGGGAACGCAGGCGGUCUUUUCAGUCUGAUGUGAAAUCCGUCGGCUUAACGGGAGUAGUGCAUUGGAAACUGGGAGACUUGAGUGCAGAAGAGGUGAGUGGAACUCCAGGUGUAGCGGUGAAAUGCGUAGAUAUAUGGAAGAACACCAGUGGCGAAAGCGGCUCUCUGGUCUGUAACUGACGCUGAGGUUCGAAAGCGUGGGUAGCAAACAGGAGUAGAUACCCUUGUAGUC